rnacentral:rRNA from 1 species
UACGUAGGGUGCAAGCGUUGUCCGGAAUUAUUGGGCGUAAAGAGCUCGUAGGCGGUCUGUCGCGUCGGCUGUGAAAACUCGGGGCUCAACCCCGAGCCUGCAGUCGAUACGGGCAGACUAGAGUGCUGUAGGGGAGACUGGAAUUCCUGGUGUAGCGGUGAAAUGCGCAGAUAUCAGGAGGAACACCGGUGGCGAAGGCGGGUCUCUGGCCGAUACUGACGCUGGAGGAGCGAAAGCGUGGGAGCGAACAGG